GAUUUCUGGCUUGGCGCGCGCGGCUCGCCGCGGUUACGCGUGUGAAUGCCGUAGUGCGCCGGUCAUCCUUCUGGUUAACGUUGGUGCCCUUCACUGGGUGGCUGAUGCGAAUCAGAUCAUUUACUUUGAAAAAAUUAGAGUGUUUAAAGCAGGCUUGCGCUAUGAAUACAUUAGCAUGGAAUAAUAAUUUAGGACUUUGGUUCUAUUUUGUUGGUUUCUAGGACUGAAGUAAUGAUUGAUAGGGACAGUUGGGGGUGCUAGUAUUCAGCGGCCAGAGGUGAAAUUCUCGGAUUCGCUGAAGACUAACUUAUGCGAAAGCAUU
rnacentral:rRNA from 1 species